rnacentral:rRNA from 1 species
AGGAUGAACGCUGGCGGUACGUCUGACACAUGCAAGUCGAACGGUAAGCCACCUUCGGGUGGCCUAGAGUGGCGAACGGCUGAGUAACACGUAGGAACCUACCCCUUAGUCUGGGAUAACGGGACGAAAGCCCCGCUAAUACCGGAUAAUAUCGAAAGAUUGAAAGGUUUACUGCUGAGGGAGGGGCCUGCGGGCUAUUAGCUUGAUGGUGGGGUAAUGGCUCACCAUGGCGAUGAUGGCUAGCUGGUCUGAGAGGAUGAUCAGCCAGACUGGGACUGAGACACGGCCCAGACUCCUUCGGGAGGCAGCAGUUCAGAAUCUUGCACAAUGGGACGAAAGCCUGAUGCAGCGAUACCGCGUGGUAGAAGAAGGCCUUCGGGUCGUAAAGCCCUGUCGAGAGGAAAGAUAAUGACGUACCUCGUAAGGAACGCCGACGGCUAAGUUACGUACGCCAGCAGCCGC